GGACCAAUAUGGGGCGAAUAUGGGGCCAUGGGGGGCAAUAUGGGGCCGAGAUGGGGCCAAUAUGGGGCCAAUAUGGGUCCGGGGGGCCAAUAUGGGGCCAAAAAAGGGCGAAUAUGGGGUGAAUAUGGGGCCAAUGUGGGGCUGGGGGGCCAAUAUGGGGCGAAUAUGGGGCCAUGGGGGCCAAUAUGGGGCAGAGAUGGGGGCUUCCGAGUGGGUGUGGACGCACCUCUCCCCACGGCAGCGCGUGGAUGUGGGGCGGCGGCAGCAGCAGCAGCAGCAGAGCGGUGACGGUGGCGGUGGGGACGGCCAUGGCAGUGCCCCC
ensembl:lncRNA